rnacentral:rRNA from 1 species
GAUGAACGCUGGCGGCGUGCCUAAUACAUGCAAGUCGAGCGAACGGACGGGAAGCUUGCUUCUCUGAUGUUAGCGGCGGACGGGUGAGUAACACGUGGAUCACCUACCUAUAAGACUGGGAUAACUUCGGGAAACCGUAGCUAAUACCGGAUAAUAUUUUGAACCGCAUGGUUCAAAAGUGAAAGACGGUCUUGCUGUCACUUAUAGCUGGAUCCGCGCUGCAUUAGCUAGUUGGUAAGGUAACGGCUUACCAAGGCAACGAUGCAUAGCCGACCUGAGAGGGUGAUCGGCCACCCUGGAACUGAGACACGGUCCAGACUCCUACGGGAGGCAGCAGUAGGGAAUCUUCCGCAAUGGGCGAGAGCCUGACGGAGCAACGCCGCGUGAGUGAUGAAGGUCUUCGGAUCGUAAAACUCUGUUAUUAGGGAAGAACAUAUGUGUAAGGAACUGUGCAGAGCUUGACGGUACCUAAUCAGAAAGCCACGGCUAACUACGUG